AUUGAACGCUGGCGGCAGGCCUAACACAUGCAAGUCGAGCGGAUGAAGGGAGCUUGCUCCUGGAUUCAGCGGCGGACGGGUGAGUAAUGCCUAGGAAUCUGCCUGGUAGUGGGGGAUAACGUCCGGAAACGGGCGCUAAUACCGCAUACGUCCUGAUGGAGAAAGUGGGGGAUCUUCGGACCUCACGCUAUCAGAUGAGCCUAGGUCGGAUUAGCUAGUUGGUGGGGUAAAGGCCUACCAAGGCGACGAUCCGUAACUGGUCUGAGAGGAUGAUCAGUCACACUGGAACUGAGACACGGUCCAGACUCCUACGGGAGGCAGCAGUGGGGAAUAUUGGACAAUGGGCGAAAGCCUGAUCCAGCCAUGCCGCGUGUGUGAAGAAGGUCUUCGGAUUGUAAAGCACUUUAAGUUGGGAGGAAGGGAAGUAAGUGAAUACCUUGCUGUUUUGACGUUACCAACAGAAUAAGCACCGGCUAACUUCGUG
rnacentral:rRNA from 1 species